rnacentral:lncRNA from 1 species
AAAGUUGAGUUUUUUUCGGAUGACUUGGAUUUUAUGAAAUAAAAUAGGGUUUAUGUUUUGAGUGAUUUCGAGAGUUUUGUUGUAGAUCUAUGAGUGAAUUUUUUUGGAUUCAUGGUUAUAGUUGUGUUGAAUACAUUUUGUGAAUUUGAGCUUGAUCUAACUAUUGAACUGAGAGAUAUUGAGGUUUAAGUGAGUCAAGGUCUGAGAAAGUAGAAUUUUAGGUCUAGUGAGGAUUUUUAAGAUUUCUUGCAAUCUACUAAUUGGAUUGGAGUAAAACUUGUGUAAGAGGAUAUGAGACUUGUUUUCCUAUGUCCAUGAGAAAUUUGAAACCAAUCGAAUGGCGCAAAGAAGAGAAAUUGACUCUGGAAGGUUGGCAACAAGAUUGGAGAUGUAGGCCCGCUAACAUCCGAACACAUUUUUGAGGUUUUCGUCAAUUUGGUAACUCCGAUCCUUUUCAAAUUUUUUUUUUUUGUUUUGAACUUGAUUUUUAAGAAGUGUGCAAAUUUUGAAUUGAGAUCAAUGGUUUAUUCAUUAGAUAUUGAGGUUUAAAUCUGUCAUAGGAAUUACUAGGAUUUGGAUUAGGGUUUGGCUAGGGUUCGGUUUAGGGUUUGGAUUAGGAUUUGGAUUAGGGUUUGGCUAGGGUUCGGUUUAGGGUUUGGAUUAGGGAUUGGAUUAGGGUUUGGAUUAGGAUUUAGGAUUUGGAUUAGGAUUUAGGAUUUGGUUAGGGUUUGAUUUAGGAUUUGGAUUAGAGUUUGGACUAGGGUUUAGUUAGGGUUUGAUUUAAGAUUUGGUUUAGGGUUUAGGAUUUGGAUUAGAGUUUAGGGUUGGAUUAGAGUUUGGAUUAGGAUUUGGAUUAGGAUUUAAUUUAGGAUUUGAUUUAGGAUUUAGGAUUUGGAAUAGGGUUUAAUUUAAGAUUUGUUUAGGGUUUGACUAAGGGUUUAGGAAUUAUUAGGGUUUAAGAUUUAAUUAGGUUUGGUCUAAAGUUGAGUGAAAUUCAAUAGGAUUUUAACUAGAAUUAAAUUAAGGUUGAAUUGAGAUAUAUUUGAGUAAAAUUUGUGAUCAUUCUAAUAUUUCUUUAAGAAUUUUAUUUUUUGUUUGAAAUUUCUUUGAAUUGUUUUGAAUUUGAUUACGUUUGUUUACCAUUAUUAUAGUCUAAUUAGAGCAUUGUUAGUAUUCUAUUUAGGAUUUUGUUAUCGCAAUUUCUAUUCUUCUU